AAUGAAUUCUGAAAUCCACCAAAAAAAAAAAUCCAAAACUACCAAAAGCAACUGUGAGAACCGUGGGAGAGGAAUCGACUAAUAGAGAAAUAGAUGCUUCUGCUCUGCCAGAUCGUUAUCGACACAGGGGACAACUCCAAUGACCUGCAAGAGAUCCGAUUCCGGCCAAAUAAAGAACCAACAGCGUGCUUCAGUCCGGCGAAGCUACAAGCGUCGUCGACGAAACCCAGUUCAAAAUGGUCGUGGACUCACCGGAGCUCUGUACAAGAAUCAGGCGGGCCAGCCCUGACCCAAGGCGACCAAGGCGGUCGACUAGGGCCUCAGAAUUGAUGAAUUUAUUGGCCCAUCGAUGAUGGGCCAACAGAAAGAAGAAAAAAAAAAAAUUUAGGGCAAAUCAUUUCAGCCUCCCCAAUCGCCUCCAUCUCUAUUCUCGCUCUGAACUUGCCUUCUCUGUGUCUCUCCAACUGUAAACUACAAAAUCUACAAGAAUCAGAAGUUCAAAACGCAUAUACUUCAGUUUAUCUGUCUGCAGUUCAAAACCUAUUACCUAUAUCAAAACCCAUAUCGACAUAUUAUUUCAGAUUGUUCAAAAAAUCAAAACCCAUAUCUUUCUGUUUCCGUCGACCGCUGUUCCAGUUCGGGUUCGCCGUUCGCAAGCUUCAGCCGCUGGCCCGCUGUCUCUCAACUCUCAAGCGUGUCUCUCAACUCUCAAAAUUGUUUUGAAAGACUAAUUGGUAAAUUUGGGUUGAACUUGAUUCUUGAACAAGCUGAAGGCCUACUGUCCUAUCAUCUUUUAGAGUGCUUUUAUCAGUGACAGAGAAACUUAUCUACAGCAACCCUUCUUCCCAAACGAACGACCCAUUAACAAAUUAUAGAUUGGAUGGAUAUCCGCAAUCACAAAGUUCUCUUUCAAAGAUUGGAUGCCAGGAGUGGCGUCCGGAUGCGGGAGCUCCAGGAGUUUGCGUCCGGACAUAUUUUUUGCUUUUUGUGGAAGCUGUGGCUCUUUUUUUUUUUUGAUAGAUAAUGGAAGCUAUGGCUUUUAUUUUUACUUUUUGGACACUGUUCACUUUUUGUCCUUUUCCCUAUUUUGUCUUUCCCCCGUUUGUCACUUUGUUGACAUAACCUUACAGAGUUGCAUCUUAGCACUGUUUAUCAUACUCACACUGAUGGACAGACCGAGAGGGUUAAUCAGAUCAUGGAGGAUAUGCUUCAUUCUUGAUGACACAUGAUUCUAAUCAUUAUGUGAGUGUAAAGGAACAAGGAUAAAAAUAUAACAAUUUUAAGAAAGAAUUAGUUCCUUUAUCUUAAACAUAUAAAAUGUGGCUGAGUAUGUUGAACGGGUUCUGAAAAGGUUCAAUAUGAAUAAUGCUAAGGCGGUCAGUACUUGCAAACUUGGUAAACAUCGUCAGGCUAUUUUUAAGUCUUAUUUUGAUAAAAGUUUACAUUAAAACACCUUUUGGGACGUCAAAGGGAACUCGAAUAAGUUUAACUCAAAACUCUCAUUUUCUUUCACAGAUUCAUUCUUUAUAUAAUAAAAAGGUCUAGCCCAUGGGUAACCUUCCUAUAUGCGCACUAGACUUGUAAAGUGACAAUCUCCGUACUAGAACCAUGUCCUAGCAUUGCUAAGGAUUAACAAUAUUUAAGUUUGGGGUGUGAUAAGUGUUGAAAAGUGCGCAUUUAAACCCUUAAUUUUGAGUAUACUAGGACCUACAAUCCCAUCUGACAUCUCUCUUUCACCCACCUAACCAGCAAACCAAUUUAAAAAAAAAAUAGCAAACCUUUGUUCUCUCCCUCUCACGUUCCCUCCAAAACAUCUUUUCCUCCAAACCAAACUUAGGGUUUGGUUGGACUUGGCGACGUCGACGAGGGCUUGGGCACUCUAGACUUUAUCAGGAAAAUGGCAAAAAAAGGACGAAAAAGAUAAAGAAGAAAGAGCCAUUAUCCAUCACAAACUGAGUCCUACCCAUCGGCCACGGCAGUGAGUGCAGAAGUUGUGAAAGUUGGUUUAGGAAAUUAACAGAUAAAUCAAAUUUAUCUACGUGAAACCACGUUUUAGAAUGAAACUGUUCGACUAAUUUCGAAGAAAUUAAAUCUUAAAAAUAUGAAAAAUAUAGUUAUUCUAUAUAUAUUGGAAUUGUAGUACUAAAAAAAAGAUUUGGGAAUCAGGAUUCCGGCUCAAUUUGUUUCGACGGAUAAUAUUUUUUCCUGAAAGAAUUUAUUUAUUUUUAAAGUAAAAUAUUUUAGUACUACAAUUAUUUAGGAUUUCAGUUUGGCCCUAACUACAGUCAUCUUGAACCCCACCCAGUUCAGGCAAUCCCAAAUGUCCGAUUGCUAACUGUAAAGUGGUACAU